CUAGUUCUGACCGUAAACGAUGCCAACUCGCGAUCCGCCGGCGGAUUCAUUCGCCCUGGUGGGGAGCGUCCCGGAAACGAAAGUCUUCCGGUUCCGGGGGAAGUAUGGUUGCAAAGCUGAAACUUAAAGGAAUUGACGGAAGGGCACCACCAGGAGUGGAGCCUGCGGCUUAAUUUGACUCAACACGGGAAAACUCACCCGGCCCGGACACCGUAAGGAUUGACAGAUUGAUAGCUUUUUCAUGAUUCGGUGGAUGGUGGUGCAUGGCCGUUCUUAGUUCGUGGAGCGAUUU
rnacentral:rRNA from 1 species